UGAUGGAAAAUGAAGUGUAUUUCAUUCAUACUUUAUCAUUGGCAUAUUGCCAUUACAUAUAUCAAAUAAAGAUAAAACUUACAAGUCAGAUUUCUACCUAAACAUGUACCUACUUCCACUAAGCUUUUCAAACAACAACAAAAAAAAACUUAACUUGUACAUUAAAACAAAGCUGGUUAGCAGCUCCAUCAACAUCAAAUUACAUCAAUCAAGAAGUUCUUAAUAAAUAGACUUCAAAAUGAACAAAAUUCAGUUGGUAUUUAACAGCAUUAAGGCUUCUAGUUGCUGCCAAUUUGGUUUGUGCACUUGAGACUUGCAUGGCCACCUUUGUUGCUUGAGUCAUGAACUAGCUGCAUGGAGGUCAGCUUCAACAGAUACCCUCCAAAUAAGAAAGCAACCACAAACAUCCACACCAAUUUCCAGUACUCCCUCUCUUAAAUCAAUGCUCACUAACUCUCAAAUAUUGGCAUGCAGCAGCACUACACCUUUGGGGUUUAUAUAAUCGUAAAUCUACAUAAGUAUGUUUCCUGGAAAUUCAUUGGAUAGGUCCACUUAUGGAUUAAUUAUCUUUUCCCUCUUUUUAUUGAUAAUUAAUUAUUUGGAUAAUAAAACCAGAGCAUUUGGAUGCAGGUAACUGAGCUCAGAUUUCAACCAUUGCUACGUUAAUUUCACGCUUUUAAGUCUUUAAAUCAAUGGACUUUCAAUGAUUAAGCUUUUGUUUAUUCUUUACCAGUUUGCUUUAAAAUAUAAGAUUAAGUUGGCUAAUGUAAGACCCAAUUUGUGCCCGGGCCUACACUAAAACUAAAACCAAAAAUAAAAAUAAUAAAAACAAAAUAAAAUCCAAUAAUCAACAAUUCAAUGUCCAUAACCCAAUAAAUCCAUAUCCUAGCCCAAACCCAAAAGAACCCAAAAGAAGGAGAAUUUCAGCAGCAGCUCCUGGAAUAUACUGAAAGAAUACCAGAGAGAUGGUUUUCCACGCGAGAUCCCCGGAUCAUCUUCUCCGUACAACUGAGACUGCAAAAGAAGACACUAGAAGGAGUCAAUAACAGAUUUCACAGCAAAUGACAGUAGGAAAAUAGGAUUUUUUAGAUUUUAUUUAUUUUGGAAAUAUGGCUAUAAAAGCCAGUGAUGUAAUCCAUAAUUUUUUACGCACACAAAAUAGAUGCUUACGCAAGCACACUAUAGGCAGAGAGAAUACAAAAAUUUUAGAAAAGAAUUUCUGAAAGGUGAUUUUUCGGGUUUUUAUUAAUUUGUUCCCUUAUUUUUUUCCCCUGCAAUUACUUUCAUCAUUCUGCAUUUUAGAACAAAAAGAAGUCAAGUUUUACCUUGUGGAUCGGUUUUAGACCUCUAUUUCACUUCGUUGAGAUCGAAGUUGGAAGGGGAAUCUAAAAGUAUUAGACCUCAUGCCUCAAAAUGACACCAAUGAAAUCCCUAAUAUUUCUGAAAUAUUGAAAUAAGGGUGAGGGUCAGAUGUUGUUAAAUAUGUAGAUUCUCAACUUCGGUUUGAUUUUUCUUGAGCAAACAAUAUCAGAUCUAGGAAAUUUUUUUUCUUAAAAAAAGGAAAAAUAAAUUGACUUACCAGAUUCCCUCGAGUGGAGCCUUCGAUGGUGAGGUCUGGUUGUGGUUCAUGCGUCAAUAGCCACCAAAUAAAAUGGUGGUUCCAGGACUGUGAAUAUGAACCCUAAUAUUUUGAUUUUGGGGGCUGUACAUUUGAGUGGGAUGAGUGGUUGCCUUUGGAGAAGAGAAUGGGAAAAGAAAGGCUUAAAUAGCCUAUUAAACAAAACG
rnacentral:lncRNA from 1 species